rnacentral:rRNA from 1 species
UUAGGAAUAUUCGUCAAUGGGGGAAACCCUGAACGAGCAAUGCCGCGUGAGUGAUGACGGUCUUUAUGAUUGUAAAACUCUGUUGUAAGGAACGAACCCUUGGGAUAGGAAAUGAUCCUAAGCUGACGGUACCUUACCAGAAAGCCCCGGCUAACUACGUGCCAGCAGCCGCGGUAAUACGUAGGGGGCGAGCGUUAUCCGGAUUUAUUGGGCGUAAAGUGUGCGUAGGCGGUUUAUUAAGUCUAAGAUAAAAGCCCGAGGCUCAACCUCGGUUCGUUUUAGAAACUGGUAGACUUGAGUAUGGUAGAGGCAAGUGGAAUUUCUAGUGUAGCGGUUAAAUGCGUAGAUAUUAGAAGGAACACCAGUGGCGAAGGCGGCUUGCUGGGCCAUUACUGACGCUGAGGCACGAAAGCGUGGGGAGCAAAUAGG